rnacentral:tRNA from 2 species
GCGCCUGUAGCUCAGCUGGAUAGAGCGUCUGACUACGGAUCAGAAGGCCAGGGGUUCGAAUCCCUUCAGGCGCACCA